AGCGAACGCUGGCGGCAGGCUUAACACAUGCAAGUCGAACGGGCACUUCGGUGUCAGUGGCAGACGGGUGAGUAACGCGUGGGAACAUACCUCUUGGUUCGGAACAACACAGGGAAACUUGUGCUAAUACCGGAUAAGCCCUUACGGGGAAAGAUUUAUCGCCGAGAGAUUGGCCCGCGUCUGAUUAGCUAGUUGGUGUGGUAAAAGCGCACCAAGGCGACGAUCAGUAGCUGGCUGAGAGGAUGAUCAGCCACAUUGGGACUGAGACACGGCCCAAACUCCUACGGGAGGCAGCAGUGGGAAUAUUGGACAAUGGGCGCAAGCCUGAUCCAGCCAUGCCGCGUGAGUGAUGAAGGCCCUAGGGUUGUAAAGCUCUUUUGUACGGGAAGAUAAUGACGGUACCGUAAGAAUAAGCCCCGGCUAACUUCGUGCCAGCCGCCGCCGU
rnacentral:rRNA from 1 species